GAUGAUGGAGAUGAUGUGUUUUUGUGUGAGUAUGAGUACGACGUGAAUUGGCGUAGUUUCAAGCCUUUGGCUGAUGGAGAUU
rfam:Brassica napus, WGS project CCCW01000000 data, contig: 260